rnacentral:rRNA from 1 species
AGAGUUUGAUCAUGGCUCAGAACGAACGCUGGCGGCAUGCCUAACACAUGCAAGUCGAACGCUAAACCAUCUUCGGAUGGCAGAGAGUGGCGGACGGGUGAGUAACACGUGGGAACCUGCCUUGGGGUACGGGACAACAUCGGGAAACCGGUGCUAAUACCGUAUACGCCUUACGAGGGAAAGAUUUAUCGCCCCUAGAUGGGCCCGCGCUAGAUUAGGUAGUUGGUAGGGUAAAGGCCUACCAAGCCUACGAUCUAUAGCUGGUUUGAGAGGAUGAUCAGCCACACUGGGACUGAGACACGGCCCAGACUCCUACGGGAGGCAGCAGUGGGGAAUAUUGGACAAUGGGGGCAACCCUGAUCCAGCAAUGCCGCGUGUGUGAUGAAGGCCUUAGGGUUGUAAAGCACUUUCAGAUGGGAAGAUAAUGACGGUACCAUCAAAAGAAGCCCCGGCUAACUCCGUGCCAGCAGCCGCGGUAAUACGGAGGGGGCUAGCGUUGUUCGGAAUUACUGGGCGUAAAGCGCGCGUAGGCGGCUUGCCAAGUUGGGGGUGAAAUCCCAGGGCUUAACCCUGGAACUGCCCCCAAAACUGGCGAGCUAGAAUCCUGGAGAGGUGAGUGGAAUUCCUAGUGUAGAGGUGAAAUUCGUAGAUAUUAGGAAGAACACCAGUGGCGAAGGCGGCUCACUGGACAGGUAUUGACGCUAAGUGCGAAAGCGUGGGGAGCGAACAGGAUUAGAUACCCUGGUAGUCCACGCCGUAACGAUGAGUGCUAGAUGUCGGGCAGCUUGCUGUUCGGUGUCGCAGCUACGC